CGAGGAAUUCAUUUUCCGUCGGAACGUCCGUCAGAAUACCGCUGUUUUCUUGUAGUGAAAGAUGGAAGCGAUCUCCUCCAGAAGGUGAAAACUGAUAUAAUAUCUGUCUGUUACGGAAGAAGUUAAGAUGAAUGUAACCUCAUGGUCUAGAUAUGUGAUGUCAAUACGACCUGAACAAACUUGCAUUUUGUAACUUAAACUUGUCCAAGCUUGGUACGGUGCGAGAUCCAUACCGGUAGAUCUGUGACAGAAAGGAGAGCAGAGAGGUCUAUCUAACAAGAGAAAAUGUUUCCCUUCCCAGCCAUAACACCCAAGUAUAUUGAGUGCUAUAUCUACAUUGUUGGCUGAAAGUGGGCUAUCAACAUAAGAAAAACAUGGGCUAGGCCCGAUAUGUUUGUCACUAACGAGGAGCUGGAGGGUUUGGCCGGUGACAAAGAGGAUACAGUAUUUUGGUUUACACAUUUUGCUAGAUUUUGAUCCGCGCUUUCAAACUGCAUGAUUCUUUUUAUUUAUAAAAUUAUUAAUUUGUUUGUUAGUUAAUAACAGAAAUUACAAAUUUUAUUUGUUCAAUCCGUUAUCACUUGAUAAAUAUUUUGUAUAUUUGAUGAAAUAACCUAGAAAACAGUAAUUGUAUAAAAUGUCUAACCAUAAAUCGUAGGUUGGUUUUAAAAAAAUCAACAUUAUUUCAAUUUUAAUAUUAAUUUAAAAUAAUUAGAAUUUAUUAAUUAGGAUUUAUGUAAAAUUAUAGUUUUGUAAGCACAUAUAUUAAGAAUAUUUAUGUAAUAUCAAUUUAGAAAGAAUUACAUUUAAUUUUUAAAAAAUAUCAGAUAUAACUUAUUCUAGUAUAAUUUAUUAUUUUAGAUUUCAUAAUAUUAUCUAUUUUUUGAAAUUUUGAACCGUAUUAAUCAAUGAAGGGAUAAGUAUUUUAAUAAAAUACAAACUCGUGUAACAUGUUUGUUUCAAAGGGCGGGAUUAUUUUUGUUCAACCCGUUUGAACCGUAUUAAUCAUCGAAUACACAAAAUACUUAUACAAAAUACAUAACAUGUUUCAAAGGGCAGGAUUAUUUUUGGUCAACUCAUUUUUACUUGAUAAGUAUUUUGUAUAUUCAAUGAAAUAAAAUGUCUACUUAUUAAUCAUAUGUUUGUUUAGAAAAAUCAACUUUAGUUUAAGUUUUUAAAUAUUAAUUUAAAGGCAAUUGGGUGACUUCGAUAUAGAGGUGGAGGGUAUUGCAGUAGAUUAUUUUAAUGAGCUAUUUGCAACGUCCUCUCCAUCUAGUUUCGAAGAAUAUCUACAUGAAGUUCCGAGAUUGAUUAGGGAUGAUCAAAAUCGGGUCCUUACAUCUUGGGCAUCUGAGGAAGAAGUUAAAUCGGCUUUAUUUUUGAUGCAUCCGGAAAAAGGUCAUCGGCCAGAUAAAAUGACUGCUUUAUUUUUUCAACAGUCAUGGUCAAUUAUUAAGUCCGAUAUAACUGAUAUGGUAAAUGAGUUUUUUCAGACAGGUACUUUGGAUGAUAGGUUAAAUAUGGCGAAUAUUUUCCUUAUCCCAAAGAUUGCAAGGCUGAGUCGAAUGACGGAAUUAAGACCGAUUAGUUUAUAUAACUUGGGCUACAAGAUUAUUUCGAAGGUCUUAUGCCAAAGACUGAAGCGUUUGUUGCAAAACUGAUCUCAGAAACAUAGUCAACUUUUGUUUCGGGAAGAUUAAUUUUAGAUAAUAUUAUUAUUGCUCAGGAAAUGUUUCAUGGGUUAAGAACAAAUAACUCUUGUAAGGAAACAUUUAUGGCCAUUAAGACGGAUAUGAGUAAGGCUUAUGAUCGUGUAGAAUGGGGCUUCAUAGAAGCAAUGUUGAUUAAGUUGGGCUUUGCACAAAAUUGGGUUUCUAGGAUUAUGGCAUGUAUAUCUUCGGUACAAUAUAAAAUAUUGAUUAAUGGACAACCAAAUGGACAUAUUAUACCAAAUGAUCCACUAUCACCUUACUUAUUUAUAUUGUGUACGGAGGCACUUAUAGCAAAUAUUAGGAAAAAAGAAGAUGAAAAAUUACUGACAGGCUUAAAGAUUGCGCAGUGUAGUCCGGCUAUUUCGCACUUAUUAUUUGCUGAUGAUAGUCUAUUUUUUGUAAGGCUAACAAACAUGAAUGUGAGGUAAUAUUACAGAUAUUAAAGGACUAUGAGAGGGCGUCAGGCCAACAGAUUAAUUUUUCAAAGUCCUCUCUAUUGUUUGGACAUAAGUUGUCGGAAUUAGUUAAAUUAGAGGAAUUACCACAAUAGGAGGUAUGGGAACAUAUUUGGGGAUUUCCGAGAGUUUGGGAGGUUCAAAAGCACAGAUUUUUGGAUUUAUUAAUGAGAGGAUUAACAAUAAGGUCAAUAAUUGGACAAUUUGGUUUAUUACAAAAGAAGGUAAGGAAGUUUUAAUCAAAUAGGUGGCUUCAGCUAUGCCAACCCAUGUUUUGUCUUGCUUUCGUCUACCGAAAACAUUCACAAAGAAGCUUACAAGUGUAGUUGCACACUUUUGGUGGAGUAGUAAUGGAAAUAAAAAAGUAUGCACUGGUUUUUUUGGGAUAAAUUAUGUAAAGGUAAAGAGGAGGGAGGAUUGGGUUUUCGAGAUCUUCAAAAUUUUAAUACUGCUCUCUUAGCAAAACAAUUAUGGAGGCUAAUAGAUAAACCUGAAUCUUUAUUCGCGAAGGUUUUUAAGGGAAGAUAUUAUAGGAAAUCAGAUCCUUUGGAUCCAAUUAAGUCUUAUUCCCCAUCUUAUAGAUGGCGAAGUAUAACUUCAGCUCGAUCUCUGGUUAAAAAAGGGCAAACUAAAGAGUGGGAACAGGCUCACGCAUUUCAGUAUGGAAUGAUCCCUCGAUCCCCACACCUCGCCCGAGAUCAGCACUACCAAAAUCUCAGAAUCAAUUCUUGAACCCGUUACUUAAAGUGGAGGAUUUAAUUAAUCCAACUGAUCUUUCCUAGAAUUUUAAUUUGCUUAAUGCAUAUAUUCAUCAAGAAGAUGUGAGUACUAUACGGAGUCUGAACAUAAGUCGACAUCCAAAACAAGAUUCAUAUGGAUGGCAUUUUACUGAUCAUGGUCGGUAUAAUGUUAAAUCAGGACAUAGGGUGGAAAAACUUUAUCCUGAUUUGGGUUCUCAACAAGGAUUUUUUGGUCCAGAUACAAAAAUUUUACUAGCCUGGAAGUUACAAUGUUCACCAAAAUUGCAAUUGCACCAUUUUGUGUGGCAGAUCAUCUCAGGUAGCUUACCGGUUACAAAAAAUCUACGAUCUCGUGGUAUCAAAUGUGACAUGCAAUGUCAGAUAUGCGGAGCCGAAGAAGAAUCAAUUAAUCAUGUUCUCUUUGAAUGUCUCCAGCGCUUCAGACUUGGGUGAUUUCAAAUAUUCCAUCUCAUCCACGGAUUUUCCCUACUCCAUCAGUGUUUACUAAUAUGGAUUAUCUUUAUUGGAGACUUCCAAAAGGACAUGAUUUAAACUAUUUUCCAUGGAUAUUGUGGUAUUUUUGAAAAAAUCGUGAUGAUAAGAAUUUUAAAAAAUAAAACCGGAGAUCCACUAGAUAUUCUAAGAAAGGAACCCUCAACCCGAGUCUUUUCGGAAUUGCCUAGAAAUCAAAUUUUACAUGGCACCAAUUGGUGUUAUAUUGACGGAGCAUGGAAAGAACAAGAUAUUUUUACAGGACAAGGAUGGUUUUAUAGGAAGGAAGGAUCUACUGAUACUAUGAUGGGAGCCAUGAACAUCCGCAGAAGUCUAUCACCUUUAGAUGAUGAAUGUGAAGCGCUGAUUUUAGCAAUGGAGUGCAUGAAGACCUUUCAUAUCUCAGAGGUGAUGUUUGCAACUGACUGUUCUCAACUGGUGAAGAUGGUGUCUACACUUAGUCACUUACAGAGUGGCCAGCGUUCACUACACAUAUGGAAGAAUUCUUGCAAUGUAAGGAAUUUUUUCAAACUUUCUCUCUCCAACAUAUCCCAAGGGAAAAAAACACAAUGGCAGAUAAGCUGGCACGUAGUGCUUGGAAUCUGCCUUCUGCUAUAGUUUAUGUUGAUUCAAUUCCCCCGAAGUGGCUAACAGGUUUGGAAUCUGCUUAGGUUACUUGCCUUUUGUUGCAAAAAAAUAUUAAUUUAAAGAUAAUUAUAAAUUUUUAAUUAGGAUUUUUGUGAAAUGUUAGUUUUGUAAGCGCAUAUAUUUAGGAAAUUUAUGUAAAAUCAAUUUAGAAAAUAAUUACAUUUAACUUAAAAAUAUAUCAGAUAAAAAUUAUUCUAGUAUAACCAUCAACAGUUAGAGUAUUAAAUGUUUAAAUUAAAUUAAAAGUAUAGAUUUCAUAGAAAGUAGAAUUAUUAUCAUUUACAAAAAUAUAGAAAAAUUAGUUACCAUAAAUAUAGAAAAUAUUCAGUUGUCUAUUUUAAAUAAACAAUAAUUAUAUUUAAAUUAAAUGCAAUGUAAUACUAUUGUAAAUAAGUUGAGAAUCAAUGGCAGCAUCCUAGUAGAAAUUUUGUUUUGAUAGUAUAGAUAAAUUUACUUUUGUUUCAUAAGAUUAGACAUGAGCAUCUGGUUUCCUGUUUGUGGUUUGGAUACUUUGAUUUUUCAGUUUUUUCGGUAAUAGAAAUUUAAGACCCUUCAAGAAUUUACGGAAUCCAAUUCAGUUAAUGGUUUGGAUAUAAAGUUAAGAACUAACUAAUAUCCAAAAACAAAACUGAGUCCAAUUCAAUUUGGAUAUUUGGAUAAUCUGAGUUGAAAUAUUGGAUAAUUUAAGUUUUCUUAUUAAAUAUCAUAUAAUUUGAGUUUUUUUGGAUAGAAAUAUCAAGUAUUUCAGAUGAUUUUAAAUAUUUCAAAUUAAAUUUGGUAAUUUAAUUUAUAAAUAGUAUUUAUAAGAUACUUAAUAUUUUUAAUUAAAAUAUUUUAAAUAUAGAAACUCUAUUGUAAAUAUUCAGCUAUUCGUUCGGUUCUCAAUUCAGUUUUAUUCGAUUUCAGAUUUUCAGUUUUAGGAAUAUAGAAUCCAUUCAGAUAAUUUAUUGUAUUCAAAUAUAAUUUUAUUUUCAGUUUAGUACAGUUCCUCAGUUCAAAGAAAAUGUGAACAUACCUACAUAAAAUAUUGAAGAUAGGGCUGACAGCAGGAAAUUGAACUCAUAACAGUUUUGGUUAUCUGUGACCUCAUAACAGUUUUGUUUUUCGGUUUAGUUUAAAGAUUAGGCUACGAUUGGUAAACAUCGCUUAAUUGCAUAAUCGUGAAAAAUAGUUAAUCUGCAAAAAAAUUAAAAAUACGGAAUAGCGGAACACAUAUUAUAUAAAUAAAAAAUAUUUAUAUGAUAUUGACUUUAUUAUAAGAAAAACAAACACGAAUAAUUAAACUAAUUAUUAAAAAAUGUGAAAAUAACUAAAAUUUAUUAACUAAAAUUUAUUAAAAAAUACUUUACUCUUAAUUAUAAAUAUUUCGCUUAUUUUUAUAUACAUUUUUAAUAAUAAACUGACAUCGUAUAACAUUAUUAAAAAAAUUAUAAUAUAAUUUUAUUACUACAUAAUUAUUUAUCAUUAAAAUGAUAUUAUCAUGUGAAAGUGUUGAUUUUGUAAGUAAUCAACUAAAGCUCAUGUUUCUACUUAAUAAACUUUUUCUUUGUAUUUUUAUCAGCAAAAAAUGUAAAUUUGCGUUUUUUUUAUACCGCAAUUUUUGUUGAUUGGCAAAAUGUGCAAGAUGUGCUUUUCCUCGGUAAUGACGUCAGUGUAACUCCUAUAUGCUCAAAAUUUUCACAAGGAAACUACCGGUGAGAGCAAAAGAGUUAAACCUUUCUUACUGGUGUUGUGAGGGUGUAUAUCUAUAUUUUGUUGGAAUGAAUGGCUUAGGUUGUAGAAUAUUUAGAUGCAGUCAUUAGGAAAGGUGCUGAAGUGAAGUUGGCAGCAAAUUGGAUAAUGAGUGAUAUUGCAGCAAUAUCUAUCAAUGAUGUUAAACUUAAUCCUCAAGAGUUGGCUGAGCUGAUAGCUGCCAUCAAAGAUGGAACCAUUAGCGGAAAGAUUGGAAAACAGGUCAGUUCAACUUCAUUUUAAUCUAAAAAUGUAUCAUCUUUUUGUUUGUUUGUUUAAAUCAAUGAUAUUUAUUCAAAUUUUGCAUAUACUCUUUGAGCUAUUGGCUAAAGGCGGAACCGUCCAAGGAAUGAUUAAGGGAAAAGACUUGCCUGCAGAUAACCGAUCCUGUGGAGAUGGAGAAAAUGGUUAUGAAGGUGUUCUCCAAAUCUCCAAAGCAGCUUGAGCAGUACCGAAGUGGGAGAACCAAGCUUCAAGGCUUUUUUUACUGGCCAGGUAAUGAAACCGUCAAAAGGCAAAGCAAACCCUGCUUUACUUAACAAGAUUCUCCUGGAGAAGCUCAACACAAAGGAGUAACUGAAGUACAAGCUUCAGGUUUUGGCAGUUGAGAUUAGUGAAAAGUGUUUUCCAAUUACUGUUUUUCUGUAGAGAUUUGUUAAAGUGUACUAAAAAUAAUCGAUUUCGAUAGAUUGUUGUAGUGGCAAUACAACGGAUAUUGAAUUGUUACAGAAAGAUUUUGACUAACAAUGACAAGUUCCUUCAACAA